AGUGAGCAGAAUGUUAUGUGAGGUUC
rnacentral:piRNA from 1 species